rnacentral:rRNA from 1 species
GAUGAACGCUAGCUACAGGCUUAACACAUGCAAGUCGAGGGGAAACGACAUCGAAAGCUUGCUUUUGAUGGGCGUCGACCGGCGCACGGGUGAGUAACGCGUAUCCAACCUGCCCAUCACUUGGGAAUAACCUUGCGAAAGUAAGACUAAUACCCAAUGACAUCCCACGAAGACAUCUGAAUGGGAUUAAAGAUUUAUCGGUGAUGGACGGGGAUGCGUCUGAUUAGCUUGUUGGCGGGGUAACGGCCCACCAAGGCAACGAUCAGUAGGGGUUCUGAGAGGAAGGUCCCCCACAUUGGAACUGAGACACGGUCCACACUCCUACGGGACGCAGCAGUGCGGAAUAGUGGGCAAUGGGCGAGAGCCUGAACCAGCCAAGUAGCGUGCAGGAUGACGGCCCUAUGGGUUGUAAACUGCUUUUAUAAGGGAAUAAAGUGGGUCUCGUGAGACUUUUUGCAUGUACCUUAUGAAUAAGGACCGGCUAAUUCCGUG